rnacentral:rRNA from 1 species
AUUGAACGCUGGCGGCAUGCCUUACACAUGCAAGUCGAACGGCAGCACGGGAGCAAUCCUGGUGGCGAGUGGCGAACGGGUGAGUAAAGUAUCGGAAUGUGCCCAGUCGUGGGGGAUAACGUAGCGAAAGUUACGCUAAUACCGCAUACGAUCUAUGGAUGAAAGCGGGGGAUCGCAAGACCUCGCGCGAUUGGAGCGGCCGAUCGCAGAUUAGGUAGUUGGUGGGGUAAAGGCUCACCAAGCCGACGAGCUGUGGCUGGUCUGAGAGGGCGACCAGCCAGACGGGGACUGAGACACGGCCCAGACUCCUACGGGAGGCAGCAGUGGGGAAUUUUGGACAAUGGGCGAAAGCCUGAUCCAGCCAUGCCGCGUGCAGGAUGAAGGCCUUCGGGUUGUAAACUGCUUUUGUACGGAACGAAAAGGUUUGGCCUAAUAAGCUGAGCUCAUGACGGUACCGUAAGAAUAAUCACCGGCUAACUACGUGCCAGCAGCCGCCGCCG